GUUUCAACGUACUCUUCAUAAGACUGCAAAAAACAACAAAAAAACACAAUCACAAGACUUUGUCAAACAUACAACAACAACAUAACCUGAUCUCAUGAUGCUUCUCAAGAAACAGAAAGAAGUCCCUGUAACAUCAAUGCAAAACUCAGCCAGACACUGAGAUAUGUAAGUGUUAUGGAUCAGAAAGAGCACACUGAAAUAGCUCAGAGUUUGAAAAAUACUACAAAUGUUUUCACCAAGUUUCCAGUAGUGUGUCAUGACUAUUCUUGAUUCAACUAAACAACAUGACUUACAAAAAAUAUCUAAUUCGAGAACAAGAGG